AUGACAUCUACGAAACUUUUGAUCUUGUUUUCCCUGUUCUCUGAUUGCAUAUGCUCAUCAAUAACUUUGUCAAAGAAAUCAUUGAAUAUUUUGUGAACUGCCUUCAUGCGCUUAGUUAGCCCUUGAAGGUCAAGUGCACCAAUGUAAGGAAUAUAGUCACUCAUGUUAGGAGUUGCAGCUAGAUGCAUGCCCUCUUGCAUCACACCCUUGAACCCCUUGUCAUCCAAGUCCUGGUCCAUGUACUUCUUCCCCAAAACCAUUCUACAGCUCAUGUCUGCAGUGAGUGCUGAAAUCUUGGCACUAAGAUCUACAGCAACCCCAUCACUG
rnacentral:lncRNA from 1 species